rnacentral:rRNA from 1 species
AUGGAUCUUGGGUGCCUCAACUAUGGCAUCAUGACCCUCAUCCCCAAGGUCCCGGGCGCCUCCGACAUCCGCCAAUUUCGGCCAAUCACCAUGAUCAAUGUGAUAUUCCGGAUCCUGGCCAAAGGGUACGCCAAUAGGGUGACCCUGCUCGCGGACGCGAUUACCCACCCGAAUCAAUCCGCCUUCAUACAAGGUCGAUUUAUUCUGGAUGGGGUUCUGCUCUUCCACGAAGUCCUCCAUGAGGUACGACUAAAACACCAUCGGGCGGUGUUUCUGAAGCUUGACUUUCACAAGGCCUAUGACACGGUCCACUGGCCCUUCUUGCGGGAAGUGUUGCUUCGCAAGGGCUUCUAUGACCGGUGGGUGACUAGGGUCAUGCAACUUGUCUCAUGUGGACGGAUCGCUGUGAACAUCAACGGGGACAUCGGGCCCUACUUCCCCACCCUCUGUGGGGUUCGUUAG